rnacentral:rRNA from 1 species
GACGAACGCUGGCGGCGUGCUUAACACAUGCAAGUCGAACGGAAAGGCCCUGCUUUUGUGGGGUGCUCGAGUGGCGAACGGGUGAGUAACACGUGAGUAACCUGCCCUCGACUUUGGGAUAACUUCAGGAAACUGGGGCUAAUACCGGAUAGGAGCUCCUGCUGCAUGGUGGGGGUUGGAAAGUUUCGGCGGUUGGGGAUGGACUCGCGGCUUAUCAGCUUGUUGGUGGGGUAGUGGCUUACCAAGGCUUUGACGGGUAGCCGGCCUGCGAGGGUGACAGGCCACAUUGGGACUGAGAUACGGCCCAGACUCCUACGGGAGGCAGCGGUGGGGAAUAUUGCACAAUGGGCGGAAGCCUGAUGCAGCAACGCCGCGUGCGGGAUGACGGCCUUCGGGUUGUAAACCGCUUUCGCCUGUGACGAAGCGUGAGUGACGGUAAUGGGUAAAGAAGCACCGGCUAACUACGUG